NNNNNNNNNNNNNNNNNNNNNNNNNNNNNNNNNNNNNNNCGUGGCCUCGCUGCAGCGGGUGUGCGUGUGCGCGCUCACGCAUGUACGGCCUCACUGCAACGUGGGUGUGCAUGCACGUUCCCAUGUACGGCCUCAGUGCAGGGCGGGGGGUGCGUGUGUGUGUGUGCGCGCGUGCGUGCGCGCAUGUACGGCCUCACUGCAGUGUGUGUAUGCACAUUGCCAUAUACAGCCUCAGUGCAGAGUGUGUGUGCACACAUGUACAGCCUCACUGCAGUGUGUGUGCGCACAUACAGCUUCAGUGCAGUGUGUGUGCAUGCACGUUCCCAUGUACAGCCUCAGUGCAGCGUGUGUGUGUGUGCGCGCACACAUGUGGAUACGUACGGCGUCAGUGCAGAGCUGAUGCACAGUCCUGCUGCAGAGUGUGUGUGUGUUUGUGUACACACAAGUACAGCAUCACUGCAGCGUGUGUGUGUGCGCACACGCGCAUGUGCACAUGUAAAGCGUCAGCGCAGAGCCGAUGCACAGCCCCACUGCAGAGAGUGUGUGUGUGUACACACACAAGUACAGCAUCACUGCAGUGUGUGUGUGUGCACACGCGCACGUGGACACGUACAGCAUCAGCACAGAGCCGGCGCACAGCCCCGAGUACAGCAUCACUGCAGCGUGUGUGUGUGCGCACACGCGCAUGUGCACAUGUAAAGCGUCAGCGCAGAGCCGAUGCACAGCCCCACUGCAGAGAGUGUGUGUGUGUACACACACAAGUACAGCAUCACUGCAGUGUGUGUGUGUGCACACGCGCACGUGGACACGUACAGCAUCAGCACAGAGCCGGCGCACAGCCCCGCUGCAGUGUGUGUGUGUGUGUGUGUACACACACAAGUACAGCAUCACUGCAGUGUGUGUGUGUGCACACGCGCACGUGGACACGUACAGCAUCAGCACAGAGCCGGCGCACAGCCCCGCUGCAGUGUGUGUGUGUGUGUGUGUGUACACACACAAGUGUUGAUCUCAAGC
rnacentral:lncRNA from 1 species